GGCUAGUCCAAAGGUAGUGAGUUACCUCAUUUGAUUGUUCACAGUCAGUUACAGAUAGAACUCCUUGUUCUACUACUUUCCCCUCUUCUCACUACUGCAUUUGACAAGUUUUAA
rnacentral:Y_RNA from 1 species